CGGAUGAAAGUGGGGGAUCGCAAGACCUCAUGCUCAUGGAGCGGCCGAUAUUUGAUUAGCUAGUUGGUGGGGUAAAGGCCUACCAAGGCAUCGAUCAGUAGCUGGUCUGAGAGGACGACCAGCCACACUGGAACUGAGACACGGUCCAGACUCCUACGGGAGGCAGCAGUGGGGAAUUUUGGACAAUGGGGGCAACCCUGAUCCAGCAAUGCCGCGUGAGUGAAGAAGGCCUUCGGGUUGUAAAGCUCUUUUGUCAGGGAAGAAACGGUGAGGGCUAAUAUCCUUUGCUAAUGACGGUACCUGAAGAAUAAGCACCGGCUAACUACGUGCCAGCAGCCGCGGUAAUACGUAGGGUGCGAGCGUUAAUCGGAAUUACUGGGCGUAAAGCGUGCGCAGGCGGUUUGGCAAGUCAGAUGUGAAAUCCCCGAGCUCAACUUGGGAACUGCGUUUGAAACUGCCAGACUAGAAUAUGUCAGAGGGGGGUAGAAUUCCACGUGUAGCAGUGAAAUGCGUAGAGAUGUGGAGGAAUACCAAUGGCGAAGGCAGCCCCCUGGGAUAAUAUUGACGCUCAUGCACGAAAGCGUGGGGAGCAAACAAAGAAUAGGAUUACCCCUGGUUAUUCCACGCCCUCAAACGAUGUUUUAUUAGUUGUUGGUGGAGUAAAAACCAAGAGUAACGCAAGCUAAACGCGCGAAGUAGAACCGCCUGGGGAGUGCGGUCGCACGACUAAAACUCAAAGGAAUAGACGGGGGCCCGCACAAGCGGUGGAGUAUGUGGAUUAAUUCGAUGCAACGCGAAAAACCUUACCUGGCCUUGACAUGCCACUAACGAAGCAGAGAUGCAUUAGGUGCCCGCAAGGGAAAGAGGACACAGGUGCUGCAUGGCUGUCGUCAGCUCGUGUCGUGAGAUGAUGGGGUAAGUCCCGCAACGAGCGCAACCCCUGCCAUCAAUCGCCAUCAUUUAGUUGGGCGCUUUAAUGGGACUGCCGGCGCCAAACCGGAGGAAGGGGGGGAGGAGGUCAAGUCCUCAUGGCCCUUCUGGCCAGGGCUUCACACUUAAUACAAUGGUCGGUACAGAGAGUGGCCAACCCGCGAGGUGGAGGUAAUUUCAGAAAGCCGAUCGUAGUCCGGAUUG
rnacentral:rRNA from 1 species